rnacentral:rRNA from 1 species
CGUAACAAGGUUUCCGUAGCAUAAGUUAGGAACAUGAUUCUUCUGUUGGUAAACUUAUAGAAGCCUUAGUAUCCCAGUAAUGGGAGGUCACACGACUAAAAAUAAAUUGGCCGUAUACUAGUUGACCUGUGUCAGCAACACAACCGGACUGUUUUGGGAAUACUCAUGCACUCACGUAGUUUGAGCAACCCACAGCGAAGACCUCUUGAGGCAUUUAAGAUGUCUAUAGGGAACGUUCACAGACUAAGUGGUUGUGGGUAGGGUAUAUAUUAUAUUCUAUUUGAGAUAUAGUCGGGCCUGAUGGUCAUUCAUCAGGUUUGUAUCACGUCAUUAAAAGUCCCCUAGGAGGCUUGAACAUGGUAUAUGCAAAAUUCAUUGCUUUAUGUUAUCUCUUCCUUAUUUCGGGAUCCUCUUCUGAAACUUAUCCCUAUGUUAAACAAUGACGUGAACCAAAAUAAACCGUUCCGUAGGUGAACCUGCGGAAGGAUCAUUACAGAGAAUAUGCCCUUCGGGGUAGAUCUCCUACCCUUUGCUUACUUUACUCUUGUUGCUUUGGCAAGCCCGUCUACCGACCACCGGCUUUUUGCUGGUCAGUGUUUGCCAGAGGAUCUCAAAUUCUUAAUAUAAUAUUGUCUGAGUACUAUAUAAUAGUUAAAACUUUCAACAACGGAUCUCUUGGUUCUGGCAUCGAUGAAGAACGCAGCGAAAUGCGAUAAGUAAUGUGAAUUGCAGAAUUCAGUGAAUCAUCGAAUCUUUGAACGCACNUUGCANCCCUCUGUAUUCCGGAGGGUAUUGCCUGUUCGAGCGUCAUUCACUNUCAAGCGCUGNUGGUNUGGGUGUCACUACCUAAAGUGNGCCUUAAAAUUAGUGGCGGUGCCAUUCGGCUUCCAGCGUAGUAAAUUUCUCGCUGUGGAAAACGUAUUGUGCUCCCUGUCAGCAACCCCUAAAUUUUCAAGGUUGACCUCGGAUCAGGUAGGGAUACCCGCUGAACUUAAGCAUAUCAAUAAGCGGAGGAAAAGAAACCAACAGGGAUUGCCUCAGUAACGGCGAGUGAAGCGGCAACAGCUCAAAUUUGAAAUCUGACCUCAUGGUCCGAAUUGUAAUUUGUAGAGGAUGCUUCGAACGUGGUCUGGUCUAAGUUCCUUGGAACAGGACGUCAUAGAGGGUGAGAAUCCCGUAUGCGACUAGGUGCCUAAGUUCAUGUGAAGCUCCUUCGACGAGUCGAGUUGUUUGGGAAUGCAGCUCAAAAUGGGUGGUAAAUUUCAUCUAAAGCUAAAUAUUGGCCAGAGACCGAUAGCGCACAAGUAGAGUGAUCGAAAGAUGAAAAGCACUUUGGAAAGAGAGUUAAACAGUACGUGAAAUUGUUGAAAGGGUAGCGCUUGCAACCAGACUUGCAUAUAGUUGAUCAUCCGAUGUUCUCACCGGUGCACUGAACUGUAUUCAGGCCAGCAUCGGUUUUAGUGGUUGGAUAACGGCCUUGGGAAUGUAGCUCCUUUCGGGGAGUGUUAUAGCCCAAGGUGCAAUGCAGCCUACUAGGACCGAGGACCGCGCUUUGGCUAGGAUGCUGGCGUAAUGGUUGUAAGCGACC